rnacentral:rRNA from 1 species
UACGAAGGGGGCGAGCGUUGUUCGGAAUUACUGGGCGUAAAGGGCGCGCAGGCGGCCUUAGAAGUCAGAUGUGAAAGCCCCGGGCUCAACCUGGGAAUGGCAUUUGAUACUCUGAGGCUGGAGUACGGGAGAGGAGAGUGGAAUUCCCAGUGUAGAGGUGAAAUUCGUAGAUAUUGGGAAGAACACCGGUGGCGAAGGCGGCUCUCUGGGCCGUAACUGACGCUGAGGCGCGAAAGCGUGGGGAGCAAACAGG